CAGUCGCCGCGGGAAUACGUAGGGAGCAAGCGUUGUUCGGAUUUACUGGGCGUAAAGGGCGCGUAGGCGGCGCGGUAAGUCACUUGUGAAAUCUCUGAGCUUAACUCAGAACGGCCAAGUGAUACUGCUGUGCUAGAGUGCGGAAGAGGCAACCGGAAUUCUUGGUGUAGCGGUGAAAUGCGUAGAUAUCAAGAGGAACACCUGAGGCGAAGGCGGCCAUCUGGGACAACACUGACGCUGAGGCACGAAAGCGUGGGGAGCAAACAGGAUUAGAUACCCGCGUAGUCCCUGUCUCUUAUAC
rnacentral:rRNA from 1 species